rnacentral:rRNA from 1 species
AUGGAGUUCGCCACAGGGGCGUUGGGCACCCUACUCCCCAAGCUGGGGGAGCUGCUUCUUGAUGAGUACAACCUGCACAAGGAUCUGAGGAAGGGGAUCAAGGACCUGAGGGAUGAGCUCCUGGUCAUACAAGCUGUACUUCUGAAGGUGUCCGAUGUGCCACUAGACCAGCUUGAUCAGCUGGUCAAAAUUUGGGCAAACGAUGUCAGGGAGCUGUCCUAUGCCAUCCAGGACAGCCUUGACUCCUUCAUGGUGCGCGUUGAAGGUGUUGAGCCUACCAAACCACACACCUUCUUCGGGUUCAUCAAGAAGACCUACAAGAAGGUCACCAAGCUCAAGAUUCGUCGCGAAAUAGCCAACGACAUCAAAGACGUCAAGAUCCAGGUGAGGGAGGUGAAGGAGCGGUAUGACAGAUACAAAGAUGUUAUUGGUAAUACUAAUGCCAGAACCGAAGUCGACCCACGAGUCUUGACCAUGUACACCAAAAUAUCUGACCUUGUUGGCAUUGAAAAGUCAAUGGAUGAGCUAACAGAGAUGUUGUCUAAGGGCGAUGAUCUGUCCGGCCAAAAGCUCAAGGUUGUCUCUGUUGUUGGAUUUGGAGGAUUGGGCAAGACAACUCUUGCUAAAGCCGUGCAUGACAAGCUUAAAAAGAAUUUUGAUUGUGGGGGUUUUGUUCCAGUGGGUCAAAGUCCAGACACAAAGAAAGUUCUCAGGGAUAUCCUCCUUGAACUUGACAGGGAGCUGUACAAAGCUUCAGCAACAAUGGAUGAAUGGCAGCUGAUCAACCAGCUGCAGAAGUUCCUAGUACGCAAGAGAUCCGCCGCCGCCGAAGGAUGCUGCCGGGCUAAGCUCGGGGCGGACAGCGGUGGCGGAGGUCCUCCUCCCCUGCUCGCAUAUCUUGCCUCUUAUGGAAAUAGGUACUUUUUUGUGAUGGAUGACAUAUGGGAUAUACGAACAUGGGAAAUGAUUAAAUGUGCUUUCAUGGACAGUCAUCCGGAAAGUAGAUUAAUCAUGACUACUCGUAUUGUUGAUGUUGCCACAAAAGCUGGUGGUAUCUACAACAUGGAACCACUUUCUGAUGAUAACUCAGAAAUAUUAUUCUAUACAAGAACAUGUGGUGGUGAAGGACUAACUUCCUCUAACCAACAUGCUGAGGUGACUAACAAAAUUUUGAAGAAAUGUGGCGGUGUGCCAUUAGCUAUCAUUACAAUUGCCAGCUUGCUUGUUGGAAAGCAGAGCGAGGAUUGGUCUAAGGUGUAUGACGCCAUUGGUUUUGGGCAUGAGGACAGUGAAGUUGUUCAGAACACAAGAAAGAUAUUGUCUUUUAGUCAUUAUGAUCUACCUUCGCACCUGAAGACAUGUUUAUUAUAUCUAAGUAUGUUCCCUGAAGAUAGCUUUAUUGAAAAAAACUCGCUCAUAUGGAAGUGGGUCUCUGAUGGUUUUGUUCCAGAUAGGUCAUUUCAGUUAGGAGAGAACUAUUUCAGCAUGCUAGUAAAUAGAAGCAUGAUCCGGUGGAUACAUCGUGAUGAUGUUUUGGAUGGUCAAAGUGGUUGUCGUGUUCAUGACAUGGUGCUCGAUCUGAUCCACACCAUAUCAAAUGAGGUAAACUUUGUCACAGUACAUGAUAUGGAGCAUCACGGCACAUGUCCGGGAGGAAAGUCAGCCAACAAGGUUCGCAGAUUAGCAGUUCAUGGAAAAAGUGGGAAACACAACUGUAGCAUUGCAAUGGAGCAUGUAAGGUCAUUUAAUGUUGUCGAGUGCAGUGCCAAUAGUAUGCCCCUGCUUUCGAGCUUUAAAGUACUGCGUGUGCUAGUUAUUGAGGACUGUGUUUUCUCAGAAGGUAGUAGUCUUGAGCAUCUCGGUAAGUUGGUGCAGUUGAGGUACCUGGGACUAGUGAAGACAGCGGUCAAGAUCCCGGAAGGAAUAGGGCAUGAUCUGAAGUUUCUUGAGAUACUGGAUGUAAGGGGAGGUUUGGUAAGUGAGCUUCCGCCAUCUGUUGGUGAGCUAAUGAAUUUGAGGUGCUUGUGGGCUGAUGUAGGUACAGUGAUGAAGGGCGAGAUAGGGAAACUGACAUGCCUUGAAGAACUGGAGCUACAUUCAGUUGAGAAGUGCCCAAACUUCUUCACUGGGGUGGGGAACCUGACAAAGUUAAGGGUGCUCAAGAUCUUUUUCGGUGAAAUAGAGGUGUCUGCAGGCAAGGCUCUAAUGGGGUCUCUGUGCAACCUGGACAAGAUUCAUACUCUGACGGUUGUGGAUGAUGGUCGUGAUGCUGACUAUUCAGUUGUCCUCAAUCAUAGUUUGGAAGACUUGGCACCCUGUACAAAGCUGUAUGAGUUCGUUCUGCCUAUCAUAGUUAUACCAAGGGUGCCAUCAUGGAUCAAUCAUUUAAGUAUUCCACUCCUUUCUCGUCUAUGGCUGCUUGUGGAUGCAGUAGAAGUUCGGGAUGUUCAAACCAUUGGCAGGUUGCCGUCGCUUUUUAUCCUUGGUCUCUGGAGUAAGAAUGAAAAGAACAUAGCAUAUACUUUUGGCAGCAAUGAGUUUCACAAGCUGAGAUGCUUGUUCACGAACAAGAUAGAGAUCGCUGUUGAAGAAGGAGCAUUGCCGAUGCUUGAAUGCCUGGUAUACAGUGCAUGCGCUGAAAGAAAGGACCGUGCCAGCUUGGUGCCGUGGAUGAGAAAUAGCUGCCCUUUGCUGAAGGAAGUCACCUGUUCCCUUGGCUGCAUUAACAGCAGCUACACGGAAGUAAAGGAAGCGAAGCAAGCGCUGAGGCAGGCUGCCACAACCCAUCCUAAUGCUGUGUAUCUGGACCUUGACAUAGAAUACGAAAACUACGACGACGAGGCAGCUAAAUUCAUUGAUAAUCUCGAGUGGACCCUACAUGGUCUGGACAGACCCGAGGAUGUGGCCCGUCCUGCUGCAUACCAGGAAGAAAGGAUACGUCGCAUGAUUAGAUCACUUGAGAGAAGAUUACGUGACGCCGCGGAGCCUCGGGUCGGGAGGUACGGCGAACAAGAGAUACGAGGCCUUGUUACCAAAUUUAAGAGUUGGCUACAUGAUCAUGCAGGCACCGGCCAGGAUGAGGCGGGCAAAAGUGGUGCCAUGGAUAGUGACGACGAUGAUGAUGAAGGUUAUUGCGACGACGACCAAGCAGAUGUAGACGAUGAUGAAGCCACUUGCAGUGGGGAUCAGCAGGAGGAGGGGGGCAGCCAACCUUGA